GUGGGGAAUUUUGGACAAUGGGGGCAACCCUGAUCCAGCCAUCCCGCGUGUGCGACGAAGGCCUUCGGGUUGUAAAGCACUUUUGGCAGGAAAGAAAUUGCCUGGGUUAAUACCCUGGGUAGAUGACGGUACCUGCAGAAUAAGCACCGGCUAACUACGUGCCAGCAGCCGCGGUAAUACGUAGGGUGCAAGCGUUAAUCGGAAUUACUGGGCGUAAAGCGUGCGCAGGCGGUUCGGAAAGAAAGAUGUGAAAUCCCAGGGCUUAACCUUGGAACUGCAUUUUUAACUACCGGGCUAGAGUGCGUCAGAGGGGGGUGGAAUUCCGCGUGUAGCAGUGAAAUGCGUAGAUAUGCGGAGGAACACCGAUGGCGAAGGCAGCCCCCUGGGAUGACACUGACGCUCAUGCACGAAAGCGUGGGGAGCAAACAGGAUUAGAUACCCGGGUAGUCC
rnacentral:rRNA from 1 species